rnacentral:rRNA from 1 species
UACAGAGGUCCCAAGCGUUGUUCGGAUUCAUUGGGCGUAAAGGGUGUGUAGGUGGCGCCGUAAGUCGGAUGUGAAAGCCCCUGGCUCAACUGGGGAAGUGCACCCGAAACUGAGUGGCUUGAGUGCGAAAGAGGGUCGCGGAAUUCCCGGUGUAGAGGUGAAAUGCGCAGAUAUCAGGAGGAACACCAAUUGCGAAGGCAGCUCGCUGGGACGUUACUGACGCUGAGGCGCGAAAGCGUGGGGAGCAAACAGG